rnacentral:rRNA from 1 species
GUGGUAAUGCCGGAUGCUCCAUCACACCGCAUGGUGUGUUGGGAAAGCCUUUGCGGCAUGGGAUGGGGUCGCGUCCUAUCAGCUUGAUGGCGGGGUAACGGCCCACCAUGGCUUCGACGGGUAGCCGGCCUGAGAGGGCGACCGGCCACAUUGGGACUGAGAUACGGCCCAGACUCCUACGGGAGGCAGCAGUGGGGAAUAUUGCACAAUGGGCGCAAGCCUGAUGCAGCGACGCCGCGUGAGGGAUGGAGGCCUUCGGGUUGUAAACCUCUUUUGUUAGGGAGCAAGGCAUUUUGUGUUGAGUGUACCUUUCGAAUAAGCACCGGCUAACUACGUGCCAGCAGCCGCGGUAAUACGUAGGGUGCAAGCGUUAUCCGGAAUUAUUGGGCGUAAAGGGCUCGUAGGCGGUUCGUCGCGUCCGGUGUGAAAGUCCAUCGCUUAACGGUGGAUCCGCGCCGGGUACGGGCGGGCUUGAGUGCGGUAGGGGAGACUGGAAUUCCCGGUGUAACGGUGGAAUGUGUAGAUAUCGGAAAAAAAACA